UUCCGCCCAGCUGUUCGUACCACGUUUUACCGUUAACUUUCCCACAGUGGGGCAGCAACAACUCGAUUCCUAAUCGGUGCCCAGCCUCAGCCCUUGGGGUUGUUCGCUGUCCCGGAGAUAUCGCACAUGGUGGAUCCGGGAUGUGAGCAACGUGUCCGCGGGGGAGGAUGCCAGCGAGCAGCUGUGACUUACUUGUAGUCUUUUCUCAAAUCCUUGACCCAGAAGAUCAGUUGCGUCCAGCGCUGGAAUAUCUUCACAAAAGGAAUUUUUUGCAGAGCUAUGGGAAAAGUGAAGGGGAGCCUUCAAAGGAUCACAGUCAAAUGACAGCUAUAUUCUGAGAGGUGAAGGGAGAUUCUCCCCAGAUCAGAGGACUUUGCUGUACUGAUGGCACCAGCAGUAAAGCUGCAAGCACCUCAGGGAUACAGGCUGGGAGGCUCACAGUGACUUCCAGAAUCUUCAAAGCGUUCAAGUGGACGGUUCACGGGGGAAGGCAGAUGGUGUUCAGGGAAUCAAACUGGAUAUUGCCUUGACAUCCUACUACUGUGAACUCACCACUCGGGAUCAACAAACACCAAGAAAUACUCUUGAAACAGUUCAGGGAAUGGAAAGAAAGCUACUGGCAUUGGAGGCAUUCCAAAGGAGGUUCGCAAGCUUGAUCUCAAGUAUGGAGGGACUGUUUUAUGAGGACAAGCUGAGU